AAUAGAUACCCGGGUAGUCCACGCCGUAAACGAUGAUGGCUGGAUGUUGGCGAUACACCGUCAGCGUCUGAGGGAAACCAUUAAGCCAUCCACCUGGGGAGUACGGCCGCAAGGCUGAAACUCAAAGGGGUUGACGGGGGCCCGCACAAGCGGAGGAACAUGUGGUUUAAUUCGAUGAUACGCGAGGAACCUUACCCGGGCUAGAACGCACUCGGAAUGUACGGGAAACCGUACAGCCCUUCGGGGCCGGGUGCGAGGUGCUGCAUGGUUGUCGUCAGCUCGUGCCGUGAGGUGUCGGGUUAAGUCCCAUAACGAGCGCAACCCCUACCGCCAGUUGCCAGCGGGCAAUGCCGGGGACUCUGGCGGAACUGCCGGCGUAAGCCGCGAGGAAGGCGGGGAUGACGUCAAAUCAGCACGGCCCUUACGUCCGGGGCUACACACGUGUUACAAUGGCCGGUACAGAGGGCAGCCACCCCGGCGAGGGGGCGCCAAUCUCGAAAGCCGGUCCCAGUUCGGAUCGGAGUCUGCAACCCGACUCCGUGAAGUUGGAUUCG
rnacentral:rRNA from 1 species